rnacentral:rRNA from 1 species
AAACUUGAGAGUUUGAUCCUGGCUCAGAACGAACGCUGGCGGCAGGCUUAACACAUGCAAGUCGAACGCGUGUAGCAAUACACGAGUGGCGCACGGGUGAGUAACGCGUGGAUAUCUGCCUUUUGGUUCGGAAUAACCC